GUGCACUGCUUCAUGGUAUUUCAGCUGUGAUUUCUCCAAACUGUUUUCCAGAAUGCGCAGUUUCUGUUCAACAGGCAAAGGACUACUGUUCUGUGGCUUAAAUAUCAGGAACUUCAAGUCCUCUAAAUGCUGCCUCUGUGUCUUAGUGGUGUGUUUCAUAGCAUUCUGCUUCUUCAUUUUAUCACACACCUGCUUCUUCAGCACCGUCUGAGUUGCCUGCACAACAAAGACCUCUGUCAAUAGUGAGGAGAGUCUAAAACAACUUUCUGGACCACAAAUUAUAUGCAGGUUUGCAUUCCCAAGUCUCAGCUGCAGGAUAGUUUCUAUGUUCUUGGCAGACUGAGAGUUUUCGAUAUGUGCUAUCGAAUAGUCUCCAUCUAGUGGACAGUGGGGAAAAAAAACAAUUCAUCGAGCAAAAUGUGAAGUUGAGUGUAAUG